UACGAAGGGGGCGAGCGUUGUUCGGAUUUACUGGGCGUAAAGGGCGCGCAGGCGGCUCAUUUUGUCAGGCGUGAAAGCCCCGGGCUUAACCUGGGAACUGCGUUUGAUACGGAUGGGCUAGAGUUCGGGGGAGGAGAGUGGAAUUCCCAGUGUAGAGGUGAAAUUCGUAGAUAUUGGGAAGAACACCGGUGGCGAAGGCGGCUCUCUGGACCGAUACUGACGCUGAGGCGCGAAAGCGUGGGGAGCAAACAGG
rnacentral:rRNA from 1 species